UACGUAGGGGGCAAGCGUUGUCCGGAUUUAUUGGGCGUAAAGCGCUCGCAGGUGGUUUGUCGCGUCGUGCGUGAAAGACCCCGGCUCAACUGGGGAGGGUCGUGCGAUACGGGCGAACUGGAGGCCAGUAGGGGGAUGCGGAAUUCCGGGUGUAGUGGUGGAAUGCGUAGAGAUCCGGAGGAACACCUGCGGCGAAGGCGGGUUGCUGGGCCGACACUGACGCUGAGGCGCGAAAGCGUGGGGAGCGAACAGG
rnacentral:rRNA from 1 species